GAAGAAGGUGGAGCUGGAAUGAAUUUAUCUCCAUCAUGGCUUUUACUGCUAAAAUAGAGGCCAUGAAAACUGAUCCAAAUGGCUAGAUACGAAGAUGCAACAGAUGAAAACAAACUGGCCCACGAUGGAAUGGAACUAAAAAACGUAGAAUAAUAAUCCAUACCUUCAAGCACCGAUAGCCAGAAAGUGUGCCAGAUAAGUUUUAAGGUAAAAGGAUCAUACAUAAUUAAAAUAUUGGGACUAUUUUUGUUUAGCAGAUCUUUUCCCAUAUUUAUACACUGCCCAGGUAAAUAUAAGCCUUGCCUCUGCCAAGUCUGAAAUAAUAUGUACCAGAUAUUCAGGACAAAAUGUCCUCCUUAGCAUAAACAAGUUAAUUUUUUUAAAUCCAAAAUGAAUUUAUUUCUGAAGGUACAAACUACUUUGUUCAGCAUACCUCCUGUCCUGACUAAAUAAAACAAAUUUUAUGGAA
rnacentral:lncRNA from 1 species